CAAACACACAAAAAAACACCAAACAAAUAAAACAAAAAUAAACCGGAAAAAUAAUCUAACCCCGCGGUCUCUCACCCAAACAAACCCUAAUGGCUACCGAGUGACCCUUUCAUAUUUACGUUAAUUUCUCGCGACCCUGAGAUUGGCGGGGGUCCAAAUUCCCAGGAGUUAGAAGAAGAAGAAGAAGAAGAAGAAGAAGAAGAAGAAGAAG